UCUUGACUACUGGGAUAUCUGAGCUGAUCUGUGUGUUAGAAAUAUUGGAUGUCUUAAAAGAUUUGUAACAAGACAUAUCAUGAGUACAUAAGGAAAGUAAUAAAACAGGAAAGCUUACAUAGGAAGCAUCUUAAAGAGUAAAUAGGAGAAAGGGAGUUUUCUUUGGCAUUAGACAAGAGUCGUAGCCAGGAAAGUUACUCUUGAUAAAAUUUUUGUUAUAAUGACUUCCUCAUUACCUUACUUUAUUUUUAAUCCCCUUAGUAUGUUUGUGCUACUGAAAGGAGCCACUAAGGAGCAGUCUUUUAAGAUUGGUCAGGAAAUUGCCGAAGCUGUAACUGCUACCAAUCCUAAACCAGUGAAAUUGAAGUUUGAAAAGGUAUAUUUGCCCUGUGUUUUACAAACAAAAAAGAGGUAUGUGGGUUACAUGUAUGAAACACUGGAUCAGAAGGACCCGGUAUUUGAUGCAAAAGGAAUAGAAACAGUCAGAAGAGAUUCCUGCCCUGCUGUUUCUAAGAUACUUGAGCGUUCUCUAAAGCUGCUAUUUGAAACGAGAGAUAUAAGUCUAAUUAAACAGUAUGUUCAGCGACAAUGUAUGAAGCUUCUGGAAGGAAAGGCCAGCAUACAAGACUUUAUCUUUGCCAAGGAAUACAGAGGAAGUUUUUCUUAUAAACCAGGAGCUUGUGUGCCAGCCCUUGAACUUACAAGGAAAAUGCUGACUUAUGACCGGCGCUCUGAGCCUCAGGUUGGGGAGCGAGUACCAUACGUCAUCAUUUAUGGGACCCCUGGAGUACCACUUAUCCAGCUUGUAAGGCGCCCAGUGGAAGUCUUGCAGGACCCGACUCUGAGACUGAAUGCCACUUACUAUAUUACCAAGCAAAUCCUUCCACCCUUGGCAAGAAUCUUCUCACUUAUUGGUGUUGAUGUCUUCAGCUGGUAUCAUGAAUUACCAAGGUGAUUUAUUGCGGCACUAUUCACAAUAGCAAAGACUUGGAACCAACCCAAAUGUCCAUCAAUGAUAGACUGGAUUAAGAAAAUGUGGCACAUAUACACCAUGGAAUACUAUGCAGCCAUAAAAAAGGAUGAAUUCAUGUCCUUUGCAGGGACAUGGAUGAAGCUGGAAACCAUCAUUCUCAGCAAACUAUCACAAGGACAGAAAACCAAACACCGCCUGUUCUCACUCAUAGAUCCAUAAAGCUACCAGCUCCUCGCGAAGUGAACCUGAAGGGCGGAAAGGCACUAUUUCACAAUAUUUUACUACCUUACACUGUCCUGUGUGUGAUGACCUAACUCAGCAUGGCAUCUGUAGUAAAUGUCGGAGCCACCCUCAGCAUGUUGCAGUCAUCCUCAACCAAGAAAUCCGGGAGCUGGAACGUAAACAGGAGCAACUUGUAAAGAUAUGCAAGAACUGUUCAGGUUGCUUUGAUCGACACAUCCCAUGUGUUUCUCUGAACUGCCCAGUACUUUUCAAACUCUCCCGAGUAAAUAGAGAAUUGUCCAAGGCACCAUAUCUCCGGCAAUUAUUAGACCAGUUUUAAAUUGUCAAUAUCACAGAAUUACAGGUGCUAUUUUUUUCAGUGUUUACCACUAAACUGUUGUGCAUGGUGCUUUUUAACUUUCAUCGAGUCAAGGAUGUUCACUAUCUGUUAUCUGAAGACUAUGAAGACUUCUAUGCUAACCGAAUUAAAAUGUACUUGUUGAUCUCUGAAUAGCUCACUUCUUACAAUGUACAAAUUUCUCAUUCUGUCACCUUUUAAACAUUGUUUUAUAAUGCAGGUGUUGGAUUUGCUCCAGUAUGUGUACCAUCUUGUAAAUUCAUUUGAGUAGAUCAUGUUUACUUCCCAGUGGAAGGAGCACUGAAAACCUCUUAAAGAAAAACCAUUUGUGUGUUUUCCUUGAACUGUCUGUAUCAAGACGUGUUACUUCGAGAUAUCCAUUCACUUUAUAAUUUUGACUGCAAAAUAUUUUGUAAAUACACUUUUUUACUUUUCAAACAACUGAGUAAAAUAAUGUGCAAUGACUUUUAUACAAAUAAUUUUCAAGUUGUUUGGUAUAUUUCCUCUAGGUUUUGCUUGACUCAAAGUAGAUUGUUAUUUUGAUCAAACUGUGCAAACAAACAGUAGUACCAUGUGUAGCAUUUUGCAACAUUAUUUUUUAAAAAAAUGCUGUCUUGCUUUAGCUAUUAAUGGGGCAUUGUGAGGAACUGUGCAAAGACAUUUUUGUUACAAACCUGUGGGCCUGUUGCAAUACUUUAAAAAAUUUUAUUCCAUUUGCUUGUUUUGUAUAGACAUUUCUAUUGCUUCUAAAUAUGCUUAAAAUAUUUUCUUUCCUUAUGUACUGUACAGUUAAUCUUAUUUGCCAUCAUCUUGAACACAAAAUGUGUAUUUAGAAUAUUUGUAUAACUGUGUAAAAUAAAAAAGGAAUUAUGUGGUCAGUGCAUUGUUUUUUAAACUGGAAAUCAUUUUGUUUUAAAAGUUAAUAAUGGAAACCAUAUUAAAAUUGAAUAAAAUAUAAAAUAUAGCA
rnacentral:sRNA from 1 species